AGCGAACGCUGGCGGUAGGCCUAACACAUGCAAGUCGAACGGCAGGACAGUGAGAUUGUGCUCUUAUGGGGGGGGAGUCGCGUAAGGGUGAGGAGUACAUCGUGAUCUAGAUUUUUGGGGGGGAUAAGGUAGGUAGGGUUACUCUAAUAUCGCAUCCCAUCUAGGGUGGAGGGGGGUGGAAAGUUUGACCGGUCGGGGAUGGACUCGCCGAUGUCGGAUUAGCUAGUUGGCGGGGUAAAGGCCCACCAAGGCGACGAUCCGUAGCUGGUCUGGGAGGAUGAUCAGCCACACUGGAACUGAGACACGGUCCAGACUCCUACGGGAGGCAGCAGUGGGGAAUAUUGGACAAAGGGCGCAAGCCUGAUCCAGCCAUACCGCGUGGGUGAAGAAGGCCUUCGGGUUGUAAAGCCCUUUUGUUGGGAAAGAAAAGCAGCAGGUUAAUACCCCGCUGUUCUGACGGUACCCAAAGAAUAAGCACCGGCUAACUUCGUG
rnacentral:rRNA from 1 species